rnacentral:rRNA from 1 species
GACGAACGCUGGCGGCGUGCUUAACACAUGCAAGUCGAACGGAAAGGCCUGCUUUCCCUUGUGGAUUGCGGGUACUCGAGUGGCGAACGGGUGAGUAACACGUGAGUGAUCUGCCCCCAACUUGGGUAUAAGCCUGGGAAACUGGGUCUAAUUCCCGAUAGGACUGCAGGGUGGUGCCUGUGGUGGAAAACGAUUUUCUAGUGGUUGGGGAUGAGCUCGCGGCCUAUCAGCUUGUUGGUGGGGUAAUGGCCUACCAAGGCGUCGACGGGUAGCCGGCCUGAGAGGGUGGACGGCCACAUUGGGACUGAGAUACGGCCCAGACUCCUACGGGAGGCAGCAGUGGGGAAUAUUGCACAAUGGGCGGAAGCCUGAUGCAGCGACGCCGCGUGGGGGAUGACGGCCUUCGGGUUGUAAACUCCUUUCGACCGCGAGGAAGCCACCUGGUUGGAAGGGUGGUGACGGUAGUGGUAGAAGAAGCACCGGCUAACUACGUG